AUACACUAAGUGUUUUCUUAAACAUGCUUGGCAGUAUCAAAUGGCGACUUUCACAAGAAAAAUGUUGUCCAUGAUGAAGGAUGAAGGUCUGCUAGGCUGCUAGCAUAUUAAAGGGAACCAGUCAUCCUACUUCAGGUCACUCUUGUUCCACAAACUGUGACUUCAAAGAAUGCUUAUGAUGAUGAAACUGGAGUUGAGAAUGUGGUAUGGCAUAUUGACAAUAUACGGUCAGGAUCUUUUCCGUGAACAAAAAUUGCUUGAGCAAAUUACCAGAGCAGCAGAUAGGACUGAUUACAUGUGGACCUGUGGUACACAACUGGUGUUCAUGACACAGAUGAUGACUCUUUCUGGAACCAAUAACAAGUCAUACUGAGAGUGAAUACCUUAGGCCAUCAUUUGUUUGUCAACGGGGAAAACGUGCAGCAAUCAGGAUUUGGUUGUAGAGGAUAUGGGCAUGGAGCAUUCAACUUUGAGCAACCAAUCAUUCUGAAACCAGGGAAAACUAUAUCACUCUUGUCAGUGCAACCGUUGGUCUUCAGGUUUUGUCAACCUCCAUAUUUGCUCUUGCUGUUACUAAUAAUAUAUAUAAACUGUCAUCGGUUUGAUCUUAUGCGUCUUGAAAGUUGAAACAGAACUGUGGCCCUCUGUUUGAAAUGGUUCCAGCAGCAGCAGGGAUCAACACAACACUGGUCCAGUUGAAAUUGUUGGCAGCCACAAUGCUACCAAAAUAUGUCAAGAAAAGUUUGGCUGUAAUAUAUAUUUGUCAGAUAUUAACUUUAAGAAAGUCCUAAUUCAGAAUAGUCUCUUGUGCGCUCAUAUUUUUCAGUGUCUGCAUCAAAUGCAGAUUGGUUUGAGAGGUGAAGCAGACCUCUUUAUAAUCCAAAGGGUUUCCGAUGGAUGUCAACAAGUGACCUCCCAGUCAAACUCCAUUCGUUUGGUAUAAGCCUGAGUUCAGGGCACCAAAUAUUAGCGAAUCGGUGAUUGCGAACCCUUGGAAGCACGGGAAAGGGGCAGGCUUGGGUCGACGUCGACACUGGCCUCUCUACACCUGUGACUACAGAGGGCCCUAAAUGCAUCACACAGUGCGGCAAAGGAACUUAGAUCUGAUAUCAUGUACCAAGAUCAUGGCUCAAUGAAGGGAUUAACACCUUGAUCUUACUGGAGGAGACGGGACGAGAUCCGUCUCAGAUCAAAUUAAGAACUGUUCAUUAGUGAUCGAGAAGAGGACGCUGCUGGACUUCUCUAUAAAUUUGAUGACCAUAGUUAUUUAAGUUUUCCGUUUUUAUUAUUGUGUUUUGAGUAUCUUUUCUAGCGCCAUUAAUGGCUGGUAGCUGUCUCUGGUAGGAACGUCUUUAGUGCUUGAAACAAUAUAGUCUAAGACUCUAACUGAUUUCUCUUUUGA